rnacentral:rRNA from 1 species
CCUACGGGUGGCAGCAGUGAUUAAUAUUUUUCAAUUUUCUCUAUCCUGAACCAGCCACGUCGCGUGAGGGAAGACGGCCCUACGGGUUGUAAACCUCUUUUGCCGGGGAGCAACGGGCGCCACGUGUGGCGCCACUGAGAGUACCCGGAGAAAAAGCAUCGGCUAACUCCGUGCCAGCAGCCGCGGUAAUACGGAGGAUGCGAGCGUUAUCCGGAUUUAUUGGGUUUAAAGGGUGCGUAGGCGGAGCGUUAAGUCAGUGGUCAAAUUGAGGGGCUCAACCCCUUCCCGCCAUUGAAACUGGCGCUCUUGAGUGGAAGAGAAGUAUGCGGAAUGCGUGGUGUAGCGGUGAAAUGCAUAGAUAUCACGCAGAACCCCGAUUGCGAAGGCAGCAUGCCGGCUUCCUACUGACGCUGAAGCACGAAAGCGUGGGGAUCGAACAGGAUUAGAUACCCGGGUAGUC